rnacentral:rRNA from 1 species
CGCGUGGGGCGGAAACGACACUAACAAUCCUUCGGGUGCGUUAAUGGGCGUCGAGCGGCGGACGGGUGAGUAAUGCCUAGGAAAUUGCCUUGAUGUGGGGGAUAACCAUUGGAAACGAUGGCUAAUACCGCAUAAUGCCUACGGGCCAAAGAGGGGGAUCUUCGGACCUCUCGCGUCAAGAUAUGCCUAGGUGGGAUUAGCUAGUUGGUGAGGUAAUGGCUCACCAAGGCGACGAUCCCUAGCUGGUCUGAGAGGAUGAUCAGCCACACUGGAACUGAGACACGGUCCAGACUCCUACGGGAGGCAGCAGUGGGGAAUAUUGCACAAUGGGCGAAAGCCUGAUGCAGCCAUGCCGCGUGUAUGAAGAAGGCCUUCGGGUUGUAAAGUACUUUCAGUUGUGAGGAAAGGGGUAACGUUAAUAGCGUUAUCUCUUGACGUUAGCAACAGAAGAAGCACCGGCUAACUCCGUGCCAGCAGCC